rnacentral:lncRNA from 1 species
UUAAAUUGUCCAAAUGCUCCUUUGCUCAACAACAGCUUACAUAUCUUGGUCACAUCAUCAGUGCAGCAGGUGUAUCUACAGAUCCUGGCAAAAUUAAGGAAGUAGUUGACUGGCCUGUUCCUACAUCUGUGAAGAAAUUGAGGGGUUUCCUUGGGUUAGCUGGUUACUAUAGGAAAUUUGUUAGAAACUUUGGAGUUAUCAGUAAACCUCUAACCCAACUAUUAAGGAAGGGAGUACCUUUUGUCUGGUCUGAUGCAACUGAUCUGGCUUUUCAGCACCUCAAGCAGGCAUUAGUUUCAGCCCCAGUGUUGGCAUUGCCUGACUUCAGUAAACCUUUUACAGUGGAAACAGAUGCAUCUAAAGCAGGCAUUGGAGCAGUAUUAUCUUAGAAUGGUCAUCCCUUAGCAUACAUCAGCAAGGCUUUAGGGCCUAGAACCAAAGGACUUUCCACAUACGAAAAAGAAUGCAUGGCUAUUUUAACAGCAAUUGAUCACUGGCGUUCCUACCUCCAGAUGGGCGAGUUCACCAUUCUAACUGACCAUCAUAGCUUGAUUCAUUUGUCUGAUCAGCG